rnacentral:rRNA from 1 species
UACGAAGGGGGCGAGCGUUGCUCGGAUUUACUGGGCGUAAAGGGCGCGCAGGCGGCGCAUUUUGUCUGGCGUGAAAGCCCCGGGCUUAACCUGGGAACUGCGUUUGAUACGGAUGGGCUAGAGUUCGGGAGAGGAGAGUGGAAUUCCCAGUGUAGAGGUGAAAUUCGUAGAUAUUGGGAAGAACACCGGUGGCGAAGGCGGCUCUCUGGACCGAGACUGACGCUGAGGCGCGAAAGCGUGGGGAGCAAACAGG